rnacentral:rRNA from 1 species
AACGAACGCUGGCGGCAUGCCUAACACAUGCAAGUCGAACGAGACCUUCGGGUCUAGUGGCGCACGGGUGCGUAACGCGUGGGAACCUGCCUUUAGGUUCGGAAUAACUCAGAGAAAUUUGAGCUAAUACCGGAUGAUGUCUUCGGACCAAAGAUUUAUCGCCUUUAGAUGGGCCCGCGUUGGAUUAGCUAGUUGGUGGGGUAAGGGCCUACCAAGGCGACGAUCCAUAGCUGGUCUGAGAGGAUGAUCAGCCACACUGGGACUGAGACACGGCCCAGACUCCUACGGGAGGCAGCAGUGGGGAAUAUUGGACAAUGGGCGAAAGCCUGAUCCAGCAAUGCCGCGUGAGUGAUGAAGGCCUUAGGGUUGUAAAGCUCUUUUACCCGAGAUGAUAAUGACAGUAGCGGGAGAAUAAGCUCCGGCUAACUCCGUG